rnacentral:ribozyme from 1 species
UGCCCAGCAACUCCUAUUCCUACCUCCACGCGGUGCCGGCCGGAAACUAUAAGCAACCUUAGGAAAGAUCGGG